GAACGGUUGGCUCAGUUGGUUAGAGCACCGGCACGCAACGUCGGAGAUCGUGGGUUCGAAUCCCGCAUUGUUCA